GAUGAACGCUAGCGGCAGGCUUAACACAUGCAAGUCGAGGGGUAUAGUUCUUCGGAACUAGAGACCGGCGCACGGGUGCGUAACGCGUAUGCACUCUACCUUUUACAGGGGGAUAGCCCAGAGAAACAUGGAUCAAUACCCCAUAGUAUGUUAGAGUGGCAUCAUUUUAACAUUCAAGUUCCACCGGUAAAAGAUGAGCAUGCGUCCCAUUAGCUAGAUGGUAAGGGAACGGCUUACCAUGGCGACGAUGGGUAGGGGGCCUGAGAGGGAGAUCCCCCACACUGGUACUGAGACACGGACCAGACUCCUACGGGAGGCAGCAGUGAGGAAUAUUGGACAAUGGGCGCAAGCCUGAUCCAGCCAUGCCGCGUGCAGGAAGACGGUCCUAUGGAUUGUAAACUGCUUUUGUGCAGGAAGAAACACUCCCUCGUGAGGGAGCUUGACGGUACUGUAAGAAUAAGGAUCGGCUAACUCCGUGCCAGCCGCCGCAGUAACAC
rnacentral:rRNA from 1 species